rnacentral:rRNA from 1 species
UACGUAGGGGGCAAGCGUUGUCCGGAUUUAUUGGGCGUAAAGGGCGCGUAGGCGGCAAUUCAAGUCAUCUGUGAAAUCUCCGGGCUUAACUCGGAAUGGUCAGGUGAUACUGCUUUGCUAGAGUGCAGAAGGGGCAAUCGGAAUUCUUGGUGUAGCGGUGAAAUGCGUAGAUAUCAAGAGGAACACCUGAGGUGAAGACGGGUUGCUGGGCUGACACUGACGCUGAGGCGCGAAAGCUAGGGGAGCAAACGGG